GAUGAACGCUGGCGGCGUGCCUAAUACAUGCAAGUCGAGCGAACAGACGAGGAGCUUGCUCCUCUGACGUUAGCGGCGGACGGGUGAGUAACACGUGGAUAACCUACCUAUAAGACUGGGAUAACUUCGGGAAACCGGAGCUAAUACCGGAUAAUAUAUUGAACCGCAUGGUUCAAUAGUGAAAGACGGUUUUGCUGUCACUUAUAGAUGGAUCCGCGCCGCAUUAGCUAGUUGGUAAGGUAACGGCUUACCAAGGCAACGAUGCGUAGCCGACCUGAGAGGGUGAUCGGCCACCCUGGAACUUAGACACGGUCCAGACUCCUACGGGAGGCAGCAGUAGGGAAUCUUCCGCAAUGGGCGAAAGCUUGACGGAGCAACGCCGCGUGAGUGAUGAAGGUCUUCGGAUCGUAAAACUCUGUUAUUAGGGAAGAACAAAUGUGUAAGUAACUAUGCACGUCUUGACGGUACCUAAUCAGAAAGCCACGGCUAACUACGUG
rnacentral:rRNA from 1 species